CGGAGGGUGCAAGCGUUAUCCGGAUUCACGUGGUUUAAAGGGUGCGUAGGUGGGCAGGUAAGUCCGUGGUGAAAUCUCUGAGCUUAACUCAGAAACUGCCGUGGAUACUAUUUGUCUUGAAUAUUGUGGAGGUAAGCGGAAUAUGUCAUGUAGCGGUGAAAUGCUUAGAUAUGACAUAGAACACCAAUUGCGAAGGCAGCUUACUACACAAUUAUUGACGCUGAGGCACGAAAGCGUGGGGAUCAAACAGGAUUAGAUACCCUGGUAGUCCACGCCCUAAACGAUGAUUACUCGACAUCAGCGAUACACUGUUGGUGUCUGAGCGAAAGCAUUAAGUAAUCCACCUGGGAAGUACGAUCGCAAGAUUG
rnacentral:rRNA from 1 species